ACACAUGCAAGUCGAGCGGUAGAGAGAAGCUUGCUUCUCUUGAGAGCGGCGGUACGGGUGAGUAAUGCCUAGGAAUCUGCCUGGUAGUGGGGGAUAACGUUCGGAAACGGACGCUAAUACCGCAUACGUCCUACGGGAGAAAGCAGGGGACCUUCGGGCCUUGCGCUAUCAGAUGAGCCUAGGUCGGAUUAGCUAGUUGGUGAGGUAAUGGCUCACCAAGGCGACGAUCCGUAACUGGUCUGAGAGGAUGAUCAGUCACACUGGAACUGAGACACGGUCCAGACUCCUACGGGAGGCAGCAGUGGGGAAUAUUGGACAAUGGGCGAAAGCCUGAUCCAGCCAUGCCGCGUGUGUGAAGAAGGUCUUCGGAUUGUAAAGCACUUUAAGUUGGGAGGAAGGAUUGUAGAUUAAUACUCUGCAAUUUUGACGUUACCGACAGAAUAAGCACCGGCUAACUCUGUGCCAGCAGCCGCGGUAAUACAGAGGGUGCAAGCGUUAAUCGGAAUUACUGGGCGUAAAGCGCGCGUAGGUGGUUUGUUAAGUUGGAUGUGAAAUCCCCGGGCUCAACCUGGGAACUGCAUUCAAAACUGACUGACUAGAGUAUGGUAGAGGGUGGUGGAAUUUCCUGUGUAGCGGUGAAAUGCGUAGAUAUAGGAAGGAACACCAGUGGCGAAGGCGACCACCUGGACUAAUACUGACACUGAGGUGCGAAAGCGUGGGGAGCAAACAGGAUUAGAUACCCUGGUAGUCCACGCCGUAAACGAUGUCAACUAGCCGUUGGAAGCCUUGAGCUUUUAGUGGCGCACCUAACGCAUUAAGUUGACCGCCUGGGGAGUACGGCCGCAAGGUUAAAACUCAAAUGAAUUGACCGG
rnacentral:rRNA from 1 species